UUAUUGUCAAACAAAAAGCAAUAACGAAACAGCAAUACUAGGAACCACCUCCUUGCCGGCCCAAUCUCCCUUGGGCUGGUUUUCUU
rnacentral:sRNA from 1 species